GAGUUUGAUCUUGGCUCAGAUUGAACGCUGGCGGCAUGCCUUACACAUGCAAGUCGAACGGCAGCACGGGGGCAACCCUGGUGGCGAGUGGCGAACGGGUGAGUAAUGCAUCGGAACGUGCCCAGUAGUGGGGGAUAACCAGUCGAAAGAUUGGCUAAUACCGCAUACGACCUUUGGGUGAAAGCGGGGGAUCGCAAGACCUCGCGCUAUCGGAGCGGCCGAUGUCUGAUUAGCUAGUUGGUGAGGUAAAGGCUCACCAAGGCGACGAUCAGUAGCUGGUCUGAGAGGACGACCAGCCACACUGGGACUGAGACACGGCCCAGACUCCUACGGGAGGCAGCAGUGGGGAAUUUUGGGCAAUGGGCGCAAGCCUGAUCCAGCCAUGCCGCGUGC
rnacentral:rRNA from 1 species